GCUCUUUUCUUGAACAUAGCAUGAAAAUGUUCUCUUGGUAUCAAUGGGUUGUCCUUUCGGUGGUGUUGGAAGUUGCCCAGCUUCAAGUUGUUAUAAUCCAGUCCAUGGCUAUGGUGAAGCAACCUGGAGAAUCUGCCCAACUGACAUGCACCAUGGACAAAGCUGACCAGUGGUGGAUGUCUUGGCUUAGGCAGGAACCUGGGAAGGCCCCUGAGUGGCUGAUCAGCUAUUGGAAACCAUCUGUGACAAACUACUAUUCUCCCACCAUCCAAGGUCGCUUUACAGUCUCAAAGGAUGGCAAUAAUUUCUACAUGCAAAUGAAAAACCUGAAGCCAGAAGACACUGCCAUGUAUUACUGUACGAGGAGGAAGACCCACUGUGAGUAA